CCCCGCUCAUUUUCACUCUCCAGUUCCAAAUCAAAACCAUAGCCGCCUAAAUUUCCCCCAUUGUCUCUGCCGCUGAAAAUCACCUCAUGGCGGCGAAACUUCUCCAAACCACCCCAAAAUUUAACCAUGCAUCCAUCAUCCCCUCCCCUUUUCAAAUCCCUAAACUUUUUCACUUAAACCAUGUUCAAUCUGGGCAAAUUUCAGAUCCGUGACAUGCAAAACCUAAGUCCCACGCCUUCAAGUUUUCAAGGACGAUUAAGCUUGAAACGAAUGUCAAUCGUUUGUUCUUAAAAAUAACAUUAGAUUAACUUUAAUUUUGUCUUAAAUCUGUGCAACCGGAGUUAGUCAGAGCCAACUGUCAUCCGUUCUGAUAUAGGUAUCUCUAAUUUUCCUCUUCUAUUUCUAUUUUUUCGUUCUGCCCUUCUCUUUUUCCUUUAUCUUCUUCUCUCGUUCUUCACUCUGUCUCCUUCUAUUUUUCCUUUCUUUGACCAAAAUGAAGAAUGUUCAAGUAGCCUUAACCUAUGGACUGUUAGGUUUUUCCCUCUCAUGAUUAGCCAAUAGGUUUUAGUUUUCCCUAAUCCAUGUAUCUGUCCUCAGAAUCAUUAGUUUGUCCAGUUAGGAUUUGUUAAUUUGGUUUAGCAUUGUUUAACCCUUUUAACUUGUGAAGCAAGUUCAGCUGAUUAUUAGUCUUAGAUAUUUUUUGGUUUAGUUAGAUUUACUUUUAAUAGCUUGGUUUGAUUACUGCUUAAUUAGCCUGGGUUUAGUUUCGUAUUCCAUCAUCUCGUAUUAUCAUCAUCAAAUUUGUUAGUCUAAAGAAUAUUUGUAUUGUUUCAUUUUAAAUUUGGCUCAUUGUGGAGGUUAGGAUUAGUUUGAGUUUUCAGAUGUCCAAUUUCAGCUUUGUUAAUUGUUCAUGAUUCGUCUGUUUGCCUGUUAGUUCCUAUUUACCACAAUUUGUACGUCAUUUAAAAUUUGUAGGGGUUAAUUAAAAAUAAAGAAGCUUAAGGGUAUUUUAAGGGUAGAUAAGUAUGAAAUUGGAUGCAACCAUGUGAGAAGGUUCUAGAAUAGGGGCAGCUCGCUCUAUUUGGCCAGCAUAAAAAUGCUGAAACCAAUUAGAGGUUGCCAGCUGUCCCAAUUCUGUUAAAAUGAUGCUUUUAAGGACUGUGUGAGAGAAUAAUUCCCUAAUUCUUCUUUACAACACAUGGAAUUUCUAAGGCUUAUAUAUAGAACCUUUCCCUCACUCCUUAGAUAGAUUUUAAACCCUAGAAAACACCCAAAACAUUGUGCACCGUUUGAUAUAAAAAGUUGAAUUGAUUUCUUUUGAUUUUCUAGAGUAAAAAGAAAAACACUCUGAAAUUUUCUCUGGGAUUUCUGAAGUUCUAGGUUGAAUAUGGACUAAAUCGAAGUUGUGUAUUGCUGAUAUUUGUUGCCUUCUCACUCGUUUGUCUUGCUGAAAUCCUUACUCAAUUUUGCUUUGCUUUUUAUAUCUAGGUACUUCUUGGACUAUGAAUGACAUUUGAAGUGCAAGCAUCCCUUUCCUUUGAAAUAUGUAACUUAAAUGUGAAGUUUAUUGUUAAAAUGUUAGAAUUUUAGUUUUUAUUUACAUGUGUUCUUCCAAGUUCACCUAUAUUUUUUCUUGGUUUUAGUUUCUUAACCUUUUAUGUAAAAUGUUUUGGGGUCUGUUUGAUGGUCAAACGGUUAGUGGUGAAAUUCAUAUGUGAAUGACUAAUUUAGUUCAUCUUUUUCGUGAAACAUUCAGAAAUUCAUGUUUGUA
rnacentral:lncRNA from 1 species